AGAACGAACGCUGGCGGCAUGCCUAACACAUGCAAGUCGAACGAGACCUUCGGGUCUAGUGGCGCACGGGUGCGUAACGCGUGGGAAUCUGCCCUUGGGUACGGAAUAACAGUGAGAAAUUACUGCUAAUACCGUAUGAUGUCUUCGGACCAAAGAUUUAUCGCCCAGGGAUGAGCCCGCGUUGGAUUAGCUAGUUGGUGGGGUAAAGGCCUACCAAGGCGACGAUCCAUAGCUGGUCUGAGAGGAUGAUCAGCCACACUGGGACUGAGACACGGCCCAGACUCCUACGGGAGGCAGCAGUGGGGAAUAUUGGACAAUGGGCGAAAGCCUGAUCCAGCAAUGCCGCGUGAGUGAAGAAGGCCUUAGGGUUGUAAAGCUCUUUUACCCGGGAAGAUAAUGACUGUACCGGGAGAAUAAGCCCGGCUAACUCCGUGCCAGCAGCCGC
rnacentral:rRNA from 1 species